AAGAGACAACCUGAUGAUAGAAGUAACUCUUAUAACUGGAGGUUGCAGGUCAAUGACUGAUCUUAAUUGGGAAGAACAAGGAUGACAUCCAUUCGAGCUGUAUUUAUAUUCCUGUGGCUGCAGCUGGACUUGGUGAAUGGAGAGAAUGUGGAGCAGCAUCCUUCAACCCUGAGUGUCCAGGAGGGAGACGGCGCUGUUAUCAAGUGUACUUAUUCAGACAGUGCCUCAAACUACUUCCCUUGGUAUAAGCAAGAACUUGGAAAAGGACCUCAGCUUAUUAUAGACAUUCGUUCAAAUAUGGGCGAAAAGAAAGACCAACGAAUUGCUGUUACAUUGAACAAGACAGCCAAACAUUUCUCCCUGCACAUCACAGAGACCCAACCUGAAGACUCGGCUGUCUACUUCUGUGCAGCAAGUACACAUUGCUUCCCAGGCACCUGCUACCCGUACACAAACCUGAGACUGGAGCUGAAGCUGCACCCCCUUUCCUUUGUCAUAGAUCGUCAAUUAUAGCAUUUGUCAUAUUGUUUG